rnacentral:rRNA from 1 species
CGUAGGGCGCAAGCGUUGUCCGGAAUUAUUGGGCGUAAAGAGCUCGUAGGCGGUUUGUCGCGUCCGUCGUGAAAGCCCACGGCUUAACCGUGGGUCUGCGGUGGAUACGGGCAGACUAAAGGCAGGUAGGGGGAGAACGGAAUUCCCGGUGUAGCGGUGAAAUGCGCAGAUAUCGGGAGGAACACCGGUGGCGAAGGCGGUUCUCUGGGCCUGUACUGACGCUGAGGAGCGAAAGCGUGGGGAGCGAACAGGAUUAGAUACCCCUGGUAGUCCACGCCGUAAACGUUGGGCGCUAGGUGUGGGGUCCUUCCACGGAUUCCGCGCCGCAGCUAACGCAUUAAGCGCCCCGCCUGGGGGGUACGCCGCAAGGCUA